CGAUCCCGUUACUAAAUCGAUCAACAACAAACACAAAGAAAUGAUGUAAACCCCGACAUCCAAAAAUAAAUAUAUGAUCAUCGCAUCCUGUAAGAAACUCCCAGAAAAUUCCCGAUUGUUCCAAAGUCCAUGAUGGUUUUUGAUCUCACGCCUGUCCGCCCACCUUCGGAAACAGUGGUACGAUGUCACUCGCGUCAUAGGUCAACGACAGUGUGCAGCGCUUGUUACUAUAGCAACCGUCCGAUGGAAGAUUAUAACUUUAAUAAUUAAUUUUAAUAAUAAUAAGUCAUAUGUUUUUAACUGAAAAAAAUAGUUCGAUGAACGUCUAGAUGUACUUACUUAAUUAAUAAGUGCAUUUUCUCCUUGAUACGUGUAUCCUAUCACCAAUAUAACCGUAAAUAAAGUGUUGAGUGCGUCGUUAAA